GAUAAACGCUGGCGGCGUGCCUAACACAUGCAAGUCGAACGAUCCCGCAAGGGAGAGUGGCGGAAGGGUGAGUAACACGUGGGAAUCUACCUCCUCGCAGGGAACAACCUCUCGAAAGAGAGGCUAAUACCCAAAAGGGUCAGAAAUGAUCAGAGUCGAAAGGCGUGAGGAGAGGAGCCCGCGGCCCAUCAGCUAGUUGGUGAGGUAAUGGCUUACCAAGGCUACGACGGGUAGGGGAUCUGAGAGGAUGUCCCCCACACUGGAACUGAAACACGGUCCAGACGCCUACGGGUGGCAGCAGUGAGGAAUAUUGGACAAUGGGCGAAAGCCCGAUCCAGCAACGCCGCGUGGAGGAUGAAGGCCUUCGGGUCGUAAACCUUCUUUAGAGGGAGACGAGAAAGGACGGUAUCCCUAGAAUAAGCGACGGCAAACUACGUGCCAGCAGCCGCGGUAAU
rnacentral:rRNA from 1 species